rnacentral:rRNA from 1 species
AGUCACUGACAUUAGAUACCCGUGUAGUCCAGGGUGUAAACGCUGCAGACUUGGUGUUGGGAACCCUUCGGGGGUGCUCAGUGCCGGAGAGAAGUUGUUAAGUCUGCUACUUGGGGAGUACGUCCGCAAGGAUGAAACUUAAAGGAAUUGGCGGGGGAGCACCGCAACGGGAGGAGCGUGCGGUUUAAUUGGAUUCAACACCGUAAAGCUCACCAGGGAAGACUGUUACAUGAAGGCCGAGAUGAAGACUCUGCUAGAUUUUCAG